rnacentral:rRNA from 1 species
AGAGUGAGCGCUGGCGGCAGGCCUAAUACAUGCAAGUCGAACGGCAGCACGGCAGAGCUUGCUCUGUGGGUGGCGAGUGGCGGACGGGUGAGGAAUACAUGGGAAUCUGCCCAGUCGUGGGGGAUAACGUAGGGAAACUUACGCUAAUACCGCAUGCGCCCGUUCGGGGAAAGCCGGGACUUCGGGCCUGGCGCGAUUGGAUGAGCCCAUGUCGGAUUAGCUAGUUGGCGGGGUAACGCCCACCAAGGCGACGAUCCGGUAGCGUGGUCUGGAGAGGGAUGAUCGAGCCACACUGGAACUGAGUACGACGGUCCAGACCUCCAAGGGAGCAGCAAGUAGGGAAUAGUUAGGAC